GCCAUGAAGAAGCUCAGCUGAAGUCUACCUGUAAUAGAAGUUUGGAAGAAAUGUGUUUACAGUAGAGGCUCGAAUGGAAUUUGCUUAUAGUAGAUAUUCGGGGUAGACCGCCCACUGUAGGAGUCCGGAGUAGACCGCUCGUAGUAGAAGUUCGGAGUAGAUUGCUCGUAGUAGAAGUUCGGCUCUCGCAGGAGCUCAGUUGGAAUCUUGAAGGUGGUUGACCGCCAUAGAAACUUGGAUGGAGUCUGAUUACUAUAGAAAUCUCAUUGUCGGAGAAGCUCGGAUAUUGACGAAGUCCGGAAGAAGUUCGGAGAAUAGUUGAUCACUGUAGAAGGUCGGCUGAUAGUGAGGCCCAGAGAACCUUUGGGGUGGCCCGGUAGAUGGAUGGAGAAGCUCAUCGUCGGAGAAGUCUGGACGGUAUUAUGGAAGCUCGGAUGGUCGAGGGGGUUCAGAGAGAUGCCACACA
rnacentral:lncRNA from 1 species